UGAAAGACGAACUGUUUUGCCGGUAGUCUUGGUAAUACUAUGAAAGUUUUAGAUCCCAAUCAACAUAUAAAUUCAAAGAUGAAAAAGCCUGGAAGGAAGAGAGAUGACUAGAAACGAUUCGUUUGGCCGUAUUAUGUGUGGAUUAAUUGGCGGAGUAGCGGAGCUUGUGCAUUUCAGUCCACCUGGCCGUGCUGCUGCUCCAGUUUCAACUGUUCUGCCUGCGGCUAUGGAACCCUGACCUGUUCACCGGACGUGCUUGUUGCACCCUCGACAACUACUAUGAUUAUUAUUAUUUGACCAUGCUGGUCAUUUAUGAACAUUUUAACAUUUUAACAUUUUGACCAUGUUCUGUUAUAAUAUCCACCCUGCACAGCCAGAAGAGGACUGGCCACCCCUCAUAGCCUGGUUCCUCUCUAGGUUUCUUCCUAGGUUUUUGGCCUUUCUAGGGAGUUUUUCCUAGGGAGUUUUUCCUAGCCACCGUGCUUCUUUCACAUGCUUUGCUUGCUGUUUGGGGUUUUGGGCUGGGUUUCUGUACAGCACUUUGAGAAUAUCAGCUGAUGUACGAAGGGCUAUAUAAAAAUAAAUUUGAUUUGAAAUUUGAUGUAAGCAUUUCCCAGUUCAAAUCUAAAAGAAUGAAUUCAGAGUCAUUUAGCUUGUGCAGGACAUCAGAAAGAGAGUUUAGUGCGUCUCCCAAAGCCGAGGGCGGUCUGUAGCAGCCGACUACAGUGACGUGGGAGUCCUUAUUUGUUCACUUUAACCGCAAGCAAUUCAAAAUGUUUGGCUUUGGUAAUCGAGAGAAUUUCAGAGGUGUUAAACUUGGAUUUCACAUAGAUUGCAACCCUUCCUCCUUUACUCGUCUGAUCUGUUCUAAAAACCGCGGACCCAUCAAUAGAAAUCAAGUUAUUUGACACAGAUUUCUUUAGCCAAGUUUCUGAUAAAAACCAUUAUGUCUGCAUUUGUCGUAUUGGCCCAUAUUCUCAUCGUGUCUAUUUGGGGAAAUAGACUUCUGACAUUAACAUGCAAGAGGCCAACACAACGCUAUGUUUGUAAAAUCCUAAGGAGUCGGUAGAGAUUGCAUGGUAUCUACCGGCCCAGAGGUUGGUCCACAUUACCAGUGAUAAACAAUAAAAGCAUAACAAUAUAUCUCAGUUGCCCAAUGCAUGAGGACUUGGUGGAGCCAGCACCAUUGUCAAUAAAACGAGCUGAGUCUUUUCACAGAGAAAAAAAGUAAUUCAAGAGUUUGAGAUUUUGGAAGUAUGCCAUCAUGUGUAGGUCCAGUUGCGUUUGAGAGUGGUACAAAUGUAAUUGCAGAGAGUGUCAACCAAGGGCUCUCUAUGGUGUAGUAGGUCAGGGCGUGACUAGGGGGUGAUCUAAUAUAUCUAUUUCUAUGUUGGUGCUAAUAUGGUUCCCAAUUAGAGGCAGCUGUUUUUCGUUGCCUCUAAUUGGGGAUCAUAUUUAGGUAGCCUUUUUCCCACCUGUGUUUUGUGGGAUAUUGUUUGGUUUUGUGCUUGUUGCACCACGUAGUCACGUUUUGUUGCUUGUUAGUUGUUUUGUUGAAGAAGUGUCACGUUAAAUAAAUAUGUGAACCUCAACACAUGCUGCGCCUUGGUCCGUCUCUUACAACAACCGUGACAGAGAGAGACCAAGUUCCUGGUAGUAUUGACACGAUGGUCUCGUCGGAGUGUUUACAAAUUGUAGCCCAUAAAGCGACGAUAAUUCGCUCACCCGACUAGUGAGUUAAUCCUUAAUUUAACCUUUAUUUAACAGUUAAGAACACAUUUUUAUUUAGAAUGACUGCCUACCCCGGCAAAACCCGGACAAUUGUACGGCUGCCCAUAGGGUCGAACCCGGC
rnacentral:lncRNA from 1 species